rnacentral:rRNA from 1 species
UACAGAGGUCCCAAGCGUUGUUCGGAUUCACUGGGCGUAAAGGGCGCGUAGGUGGCCUGAUAAGUAGGGGGUGAAAUCUCGUGGCUCAACUGCGAGGCUGCCUCCUAAACUGUCGGGCUUGAGCAGAGUAGAGGCAGGUGGAAUUCCCGGUGUAGCGGUGGAAUGCGUAGAGAUCGGGAGGAACACCGGUGGCGAAGGCGGCAUCCUGGACCGGUAUUGACGCUGAGGCGCGAAAGCCAGGGGAGCAAACGGG